rnacentral:rRNA from 1 species
UACAGAGGUCCCAAGCGUUGUUCGGAUUCACUGGGCGUAAAGGGUGCGUAGGUGGUCAGGUAAGUCUGAUGUGAAAUCUCUGGGCUUAACCCAGAAACUGCAUUGGAUACUAUCUGGCUAGAGGAGUGGAGGGGGGACUGGAAUACUUGGUGUAGCAGUGAAAUGCGUAGAUAUCGAGAGGAACACCUGCGGCGAAGGCGGGUUGCUGGGCCGACACUGACGCUGAUGCGCGAAAGCGUGGGGAGCAAACAGG